rnacentral:sRNA from 1 species
AGAGAAGAGUGUCCAGCUCCUCCAGAGGCUGCCCGCCCGCCGCUCCUUCCCUGCCCACCUACUAUGAGGAGCAGCUCCUCCCACCUGCCCAUAAAAGCCAAGUGCAUGUUACCAGCAGCAGAUCACAGCCCUUCCCCGAUCCUCUCCGUGGGAGCCCGCGAGCCUCUCUCCCUGAUCUUACGUGCUCAAGGGAGUUCACACAUUCACCAACUCACCCUGGAAAUCAUCUCAAGAACGAAAGACAACUGAAAGUUUCUGCAUGAUCUUAGAAAUUUGCCAAAUAUAAACAUGUCAAUGUGAAGUUAAGAAGUGAGACUCACCUGUCCCUGCACAGUCUAUACUAUGCCCUUUCACAAUAGGAUCCAGUUUCACCUAUGGAAUGAGAAAGUUGGGGAAGAAUUCAUCUAGCAUCUUGCCACUCAAAGUGUGGUCCAUGGACCAGCAGCAUCAGCAUCACCUGGGAUCUUCUUGGAAGAAAUGUAGAAACUCAGGCCUCACCCCAGAAUCUGCCUUUUUAUAAGAUCCCCAGAUGACAAAACUGAUAAAGAAGUCACACAGAUGUUAAAUUGCAGAGCCAGGAGAACAGCCCUGGCAGCCGGCUCCGGAGGUCAUGCUAUUAACCUCUACACUCUACCCCUCCUCAAGAAAGACAUUAAAUGCAGAGGCAAGGAAAAUUGAUGCAAAUAUCAUUGGAAUGAGACCACUAGGGGUUGUCCUAAUAGGGAGAAGAAACAUCAUUUUUCCUCAUUCUAUUGCCAUUAUUUCACAGACCAUGUUGCACUUUGUAGAUAAUGAGUCAGAAAUACUUGACUGUGUCACAUUGUUAAAAAGGAGAAAGU